rnacentral:rRNA from 1 species
UGGGGAAUUUUGGACAAUGGGCGAAAGCCUGAUCCAGCAAUGCCGCGUGUGUGAAGAAGGCCUUCGGGUUGUAAAGCACUUUUGUCCGGAAAGAAAUCCUUGGCUCUAAUACAGUCGGGGGAUGACGGUACCGGAAGAAUAAGCACCGGCUAACUACGUGCCAGCAGCCGCGGUAAUACGUAGGGUGCAAGCGUUAAUCGGAAUUACUGGGCGUAAAGCGUGCGCAGGCGGUUUGCUAAGACCGAUGUGAAAUCCCCGGGCUCAACCUGGGAACUGCAUUGGUGACUGGCAGGCUAGAGUAUGGCAGAGGGGGGUAGAAUUCCACGUGUAGCAGUGAAAUGCGUAGAGAUGUGGAGGAAUACCGAUGGCGAAGGCAGCCCCCCUGGGCCAAUACUGACGCUCAUGCACGAAAGCGUGGGGAGCAAACAGGAUUAGAUACCCUGGUAGUCCACGCCCUAAACGAUGUCAACUAGUUGUUGGGGAUUCAUUUCCUUAGUAACGUAGCUAACGCGUGAAGUUGACCGCCUGGGGGAGUACGGUCGCAAGAUUAAAACUUAAAUGAAUUG